GGAAGUUUGCUUAUUUAUUUUUUUGCAAGAGGAAGUCGGUUCUUGGCGUGAAGGUAGAGGAGACCACACGAAGAGGAGAAGAGAGGAGAACGGGAGACAGUCAGAGAAGGAGAAAGAAUUGGGAAGACUGGGGAAACCCUCCUUCCACCCUAAAGAAACAUGGCCUGAGUUAUUUCCAGGGCCUGCAGGUAUGUGGCAGAAAAAGUCGGUGCCUCCUGCUGUUGCUUCUGCUGUAACAACGAUAGGGAGAAUUUAGACUCUUCUGCUGAAGGAAAAGGUUACCCUGCAGGCGGAUGACAAAAACGUCAGAAGGCAGAGAUCCCCAAAUGCAGCAGUCCCAUUGUGAGCCAGCCUAGCGGGACAUGAGGCAGAUAAAGGGCCAUUCGCUGUUCACAGAUAUCCUCUGGAACGGUGUCUGGUCCUCGUCUAACCCAAACGCUUCCAUCCUUCUUUCUACUUGGCUGUCGCAGACAACUCAUGAAGACAAGUUCAGAAACUCCCCUCGAGGUGGAGGUGAACGUGUUCGAUUCUCCUGUGUCUCGGGUACCAGUAGAGCCAACCUCUGAAAUGACCACAUCUUGAAAUUAUAUUGCAAGGAAAUAUAUAAUUUGUGGAAUAAAAUGCAGUUGCU